rnacentral:misc_RNA from 1 species
AAAGUCUGAAAGGGAUGACUGU